GGCCAUAUCAUGUUGAAACAGCGGUUCCCGUAUGAUCACCGAAGUUAAGCAACAGCGAUCCCGGUUACCACUUAGAUGGGUAACCACUUGUGAAUAGCAGGUGCU